GAAUAAUGAAUUGGCUGUGGGAUGUUUUUGAUAGGUCUAUUUUAAUUAAAAAAUAAAUUUACCCUGUGUUCAUUUUAAAGAAAGAUACAAUAGUGUUGUUGGUGAUGACUGAUUUUGUUCAUACUUCCUUUUCGAGUAAAUCAGUACUUUCCCCUCUAAAACUUGUUUAUGUGUCAGUGCUUAGUUGGGUUGGCGGGUUCAUAGCUGCAAUCCCAGCACUUCAUAGGCAGAAGUUGGUGCUCUUAUCACAAGAACAAAGUGGGGACUGGAGACAUGGCUCAGUGGCUAAGCAUCCUGGCUGCUCUUCCACAGGACUCAGGUUUGAUUCUCAGCAUCCACACGGUAGCUCAUGACCAUCUGUGACUGCAGUUCCAGAGGAUCCAACGCCCUCGUGUAGCCUCUGCAGGCACCAGGCACACAAGUGGUGCACAGACCUACAUGCAGACAAAACACUAAUACACUAGAAUAAAAAAAAUAAUAAUAAUUUAAAAAGCAAAGUGUGUAAGUACAAGGAAGUCAGAAUUCCACGUGGCUUUGGCAUGCAGGACACGCUUACUAAGCUCUUCCAGCUGCAGUCCUGUGGUCCACAGAAAGUUGAAAGAGCUGACAUAUAAUCCCUGCAAGGCCCUGCAUAUAGAUGGCCUGACAUUAUCCUGUCAUGAUAGCCAUCCUUAGAAACUGUGAACUGACUCCCCAACUUCCAGACUCCAAAAUCUCUGCUAAUGUUCAGUUAAGGACAGCCUGCCAAGCCCUCUCUGCCCCUUUCCAAGGCACAUGCCUCUGCCUUUCAAACUCCUGAGCAAGGAAUCCAUUACCGCUCUGUUCUUCACGGAGCCUCAUCCACGUGUGAGCAUUACGCUUGGUGUCUAAGAUAGCAUUGCAUCUGCGUACCAGAGACCUGUCCUGCACACAGGUCUUGUGUGUAGACCACAGGUCUUCAACCGUAGCGUGAAUCCCUUGGUAAGUCUCUAUCUCCCGCUCUUUCUCGAUGCUGGCAGUCGGACCAGGAGGAAGAUGCAGAGAUCAAGGCACAGGUAGAAAACUAAAGAUCUGGCGACCCCCGCCCCUCCCACCAGACCAGUGUGUGAUAAACCAUUGUCUGCCAGGUGUCUUCCGCAUGCUCCCUCUUGGUUACCAUGCCAACAGCGUGCCGAAUGGCGUUUGUCCCCGUGACUACCGUGUCCCUUACCUUUCCCUCUCUUCUCCACUUUUUUCAGAAUAGUCUGAUUAAGCGAAUAAAGGGUGAAAAUGUGUAUGUCAAACAUAGUAAUCUUAUGUUAGAGGUUGGUAUUGGGACCCUCCAGUGCAUGCCUGUGUGUGGUGGUUUUCUCCCUUGGCAUCCCUGUGGACCUGAAUUGUGAUGCAUGACCGCGUUACUCAGCCUGUCAGGGAUGGGCUGACUUCUCGGCUUACUCUGACUUCUCAUGAUCCUAGACUUAGUCCCUUUCCUGUGUGUGUAUUUUGUUUUCAUCCACCCUCUGUAGAACUUACCUUUUAAUUUGGUUUUGUUUUUUUUUUUUUUUGUUUUUUGUUUUUUGUUUUUUUUGUUUGGUUUUUAAUUUUUUAUUUAUUUAUUUUUAUGCUUGUGUGAACCUAAAUUAUUAUUUUCUUUCUUCUCUUUUCCCUGGAAAUACUACAUUUUCACCUCGAGCGUUUGUGGUAGUGUCUUGAACCCUGAUCCAAAUUCCAUUUCCGUUUGACUACUAAUAUGUUUGGUAUACU
rnacentral:lncRNA from 1 species